CCUACGGGUGGCAGCAGUGAGGAAUAUUGGUCAAUGGUCGCGAGACUGAACCAGCCAAGCCGCGUGAAGGAUGACUGCCCUACGGGUUGUAAACUUCUUUUAUCAAGGAAUAAAGUGAGGCACGUGUGCCUUUUUGUAUGUACUUUAUGAAUAAGGAUCGGCUAACUCCGUGCCAGCAGCCGCGGUAAUACGGAGGAUCCGAGCGUUAUCCGGAUUUAUUGGGUUUAAAGGGAGCGUAGAUGGGUUGUUAAGUCAGUUGUGAAAGUUUGCGGCUCAACCGUAAACUUGCAAUUGAUACUGGCAGCCUUGAGUACAGUUGAGGUAGGCGGAAUGCGUGGUGUAGCGGUGAAAUGCUUAGAUAUCACGAAGAACUCCGAUUGCGAAGGCAGCCUACCAAAUUGCCACUGACAUUGAUGCUCGAAAGUGUGGGUAUCAAACAGGAUUAGAUACCCUGGUAGUC
rnacentral:rRNA from 1 species